CCGGGGCCAGGGCCAGAGCCCCGGCCCUGACGAGAAAUACAACUCAGAUGCCGAGACAGGGUCGACCACAGGCUAAAUAAAGGACCCCCCGUCGGAAAGGACGAAAGGGUUUUAAAAAAUCCGGGAAAUUGGCUCCCCAACGGGGCUGGCAAAUGCCAUCAACUGUUCCUUCCAUUCCCCAGCGUCUCCACCAACAGGUACGUCCCUAAGACAAGCCUCAAAAAAAGCCGCAGCCCAACUCCGACUUACUCUGCAGGACGCAGCCCAGCCCGCCUGCUGGAGGCACCGGCCACCCCAGGAAGGGGCCUCGGGGCUGGGGGCUGGGGGCUGGGGGCUGGGAACAGGAAAGGAAUCCAGAACUUAGAGAUGCAGCAGCAAACACUUAAAAAACGAGGAGGAGGGGGGAGAGGAGCCCUCGGAGCUGAUUACAACACCGUAAUGUGAGCAAAUUCACAAAAUAAACAGUCACCAGCGUUUGCCAAUGAUUGCGGCUGUAAAGGUGCUCUGCCCUCCUGGGUGGCGAUAGGGACCGAUAUAGGGUGCCCUUUAUCUUGGCAAGAUACAUUUUUUUAAAGUUUAUGGCUACUCUUUGUAGUUACCUGUUGAUUAUUAUUAUUUUUUUUUUAGUUUGGAUUUUAAAGUACCUUUAGACCAUGCCAAAUAUUUAACCAGCUGUUUUUUCAUAAAAGUCUCAAAAUGACUUUAUGGAAGGCUGUACAUACAACACCCAGACAGUCAAUGUCCGCCCUGCGACACUGUGAAGAUAGCACAAUCUAACCCUGCCCACACCCCACAACGCUGAGUUUCAACCCAAGGCUAGCUCGGCCCACGCUGCAGAACAAGAUAAAAACUGGUAACUCAUUAAGACACGGCCGGUCCUUUGACCAAGGUCAUGUGCCGUCUCAAAAGGCAGAGAUAAAGACCAAAAUUUAAAUUAAAAUCUAAUGAAGGGGAUCGUGUUCCCCGACAGAAUUUUUCGGGAGCGGGCAGGUCACUGGGUCAGGCUGCUCCUCGAGGCGGAGGCAACUUGUUUGUUUUGACCUCCGAUCUCCCAAACCGUCGGCUCCACCAUGGGAAUACGCCGCGUGGCCAAAGCCCGGAGCCCGACAGACCAGCCCAUCUGUGCUGUGAGAACGGGCCACUUCAGUCUACAGCGGAGUUUAUAUAGAAGCGGCGAUGUGAAAACUGCUAUGCGUGCUGCUGCUUUAAAAAAAAAAACAACACACACACAAAAAAACACAAUCCUGCUGAGAAGUAGCGGGUGCCGUGGAGAAUGCUGAGAUUCUGCCUGAUUUACAAAAAUAAAAAAAUAAAAAGUCUAUGGAAUUUUUCACUGAUUUGGGGAAGAGGUCUAUUUUACUGAUUUCACCCAAGUUAAGAACUACGAUGGUCACUGACCAUCCGGCUCUGCAAGUUAUACGCCGGGUAAGGUGGUAGCCACAUACAUUAAAACCACGAGGCGAACCUCAUCUCGGUGCAGAAUACUAAUUCAGAACGAAAACGCUCAUUUAUGGAAAUUAAUUGAUCUUAUGCUACUUGCCCCACCUCGUCCAAAAAGAAGAUGAUUUGAUACUCAGGAAAUGUGACUACCUAUCAUUCCGGGAUUUAGGGUUAAAAAUCUCUUUCACCUGCGUUAAUUACAGCGAAAAAAAGUCAAAUUAAAAGAGAUGAGCAGUGGGCAGCUAUUAAAAGUAUUAAGUGCUUUUAAAAAUGAUUAACACCCCCCCCCUCCAACCUCCAAAUGCCUCUCUCUACUCUUGCUCGCUUGGCUUUAAAGGGUACGACACCCUGUUUCUUUCCCUGACUUUUAUUUUGUCACCGGUGUUUCAUGGGGUGCUUGCUAAAUAUUUGGGUGGCACGCGCCUGCCGCCUGCAGCAGCGGGACGUGCCUGUCAUACCGCGGAAAUGUUUCCAUUCCCGCCGCUGCGUGCGCCCGUCUCCGCAGCCCACGUCCUCCAGGAUCGACUGCUGUCUGGUCUCAGAACAAAGCAGCCGCCGAUUUUUCCUCGUGUGGGCUGAGCUGCCCAGGCCCCCACGGCUCUGAAUUAGAAAAACAAAGAUGCACGCACACGAGAAUCUGCCUGUGAGCUGCAAGCUAGAACUUUCUGGACCAAGCGGGCCAUUUUGCAUAAAUCAAGACCCGGGCUGCCCUGAAACUCCCGGGGAAGCCGGCUGCGUCUGCAGGCCACGCUCCCUCAGCCCGCCCGAGGGCGGAGGUGAGCUCGCAGCUGCACUUUGCAAAACCCACCUUUUAAGGAAAAAGGUUCAGCCACUCCGAAGGGUCAGGGACCAACAAAGAAACUCAGGCAGCCCCGGCCCCAGCUCUCCACGAGCCCUGGCGGGCCCCGGGGACACGGAGGGAGGUCGGCACCAGCAGAGGAUUAGGACCACGCAGGGCCCCCCCCAGGGUCUGUCCGGCGGCGGACAAGCCCAUGUGCCCCCCGCAUGCAGGCGGUGGGCAGGGCGGCUGGGAGCCGGCCCAGCACUGUGAGUGCUUAAACGAGGGCUUAAAAAAUUAAAAGCCCCCAAACCUAACAGAUUCUCCCACACUGAGCUGAGAGUCCAAAACAGCUUUCUUUUCUUUCUUUUUUUCAAAAAAAAUAAAAUAAAACGAAAGGGAAAGAGAACUGGAUCCCCACGCUGUGGACACGGCGGCAUUAAAGAUGCCGGACCACAUAAAGGGCCU